CGCUGGUUGGCUCGCGCGCCGCCCUCGCCUCCAAUCCCGGGUGCCUGUCCUAAUUUCCUGAUCCAGGGAACCUGCCGCCGCAGCGGCUGUGCGCUCCCUACAGUCAUUACUGUACCCUCCCGGCAGCCUCCGGCAGAACACGCAGCAGCAGCAGCAGUUAGCGCUGAUGCAACUAUCGUUGCUGUUGCCACCGCCUCCCCACUGACGGGGCGUGCACCUGGGGGGUACUUGCAGUUUCCAGGGGCAACAAGCAUCUCUCUACCACCCUCUCCUGCGCCCCUGAGAGAGGCUGGCUCCAAGCUUGAUAUAGAAGACUAUCAUAUGAACCAGAAAGGGUAACUGAAACCAAAGAAAUGACUCCAGUAUCAAGCUAAAGACAUGCCUUAAAGGAUGAGGAGGAGCAGAAAUCUUACCAGCAAGGCAAGAAAGAAGCCGUACGUGAACAGCCUCUGCUUUAGGCCCAGAAGGAAAAGAAGCUUACAGGAGACAAUCAGUCUUACACUCUUCCAUGGUCACAAACAAGAGGUCCCUGGAUCUACAGUAUCUAGGCCCACAUGCAAUAUGACUUUGCAACUCAUCCCAUCAGAGGAUGGAAACUAUUUCUUCACCCCCUUGAACCUGGGCUGGCUUUGUAAUUUGUUUUGGCCAAUAGAAUGUGGUGGAAGUGAUGGUGUUACCAGAAAGAGUUCCCAAUCCAGACUCGUGCGAGAAAGAAUUUGAGAAAUGAAAGAACCAGAGCAUUAUAGCAGAACGAAUCCUGGAAUGGGAAUGGAAUGCCUGGAUUUGUGGCACAGUUGGGAAGCGUCCUGGCCAUGCCAUGUUAAAGCUGUCUCCAAGGCAGUGAUUCUUACCCUUGGCUACACAUUGGAGUCAUUUGGGAAGCUAGAAAAAAAAAAUGCCCAGGACCUGGGCAAGACGGCUGAAUAAGAACAGCUCUGGUCUGCAGUUCCUAGCAAGAUCAACGCAGAAGGGAAGCUGGCAGCCUGGGCUCUUGGAGAUUGUAUCUGGUGCCGGAGAGGACUGGCUCCCACACUCAGUGAGGGAGGAAUUUUACUGACCCAGCAUCCAGAUGAACUUUGGUGAGGAGAGGAGGUGAGGAAGUCAAUGAGCCUUGCUUUUUCACUUGCAAUUACGGCAUUUCCUUUGGAAAUGGACAUAAGAGCCUGGUGGUUGAUGAUGGAAGAGAUGAAACUGUGAAGAGACCGAAGAAGCUAAUCUAUCAAUAGUUAAGAUUCCAUUUCUAAAAGAUCUUACUUUGAGUCUACCUAUGCCUGGGAUGUCAAGAGGUAU
rnacentral:lncRNA from 10 species